rnacentral:rRNA from 1 species
GAUGAACGCUGGCGGCGUGCCUAAUACAUGCAAGUCGAGCGAACGGACGAGAAGCUUGCUUUUCUGAUGUUAGCGGCGGACGGGUGAGUAACACGUGGAUAACCUACCUAUAAGACUGGGAUAACUUCGGGAAACCGGAGCUAAUACCGGAUAAUAUUUUGAACCGCAUGGUUCAAAAGUGAAAGACGGUCUUGCUGUCACUUAUAGAUGAAUCCGCGCUGCAUUAGCUAGUUGGUAAGGUAACGGCUUACCAAGGCAACGAUGCAUAGCCGACCUGAGAGGGUGAUCGGCCACACUGGAACUGAGACACGGUCCAGACUCCUACGGGAGGCAGCAGUAGGGAAUCUUGCGCAAUGGGCGAAAGCCUGACGGAGCAACGCCGCGUGAGUGAUGAAGGUCUUCGGAUCGUAAAACUCUGUUAUUAGGGAAGAACAUAUGUGUAAGUAACUGUGCACAUCUUGACGGUACCUAAUCAGAAAGCCACGGCUAACUACGUG